CUCUUUCAGCAGGGACGAAGCUUACGUGACGGUACCUGCAGAAGAAGCGCCGGCUAACUACGUGCCAGCAGCCGCGGUAAUACGUAGGGUGCAAGCGUUGUCCGGAAUUAUUGGGCGUAAAGAGCUCGUAGGCGGUCUGUCGCGUCGGCUGUGAAAACUCGGGGCUCAACUCCGAGCCUGCAGUCGAUACGGGCAGACUAGAGUGCGGUAGGGGAGACUGGAAUUCCUGGUGUAGCGGUGAAAUGCGCAGAUAUCAGGAGGAACACCGGUGGCGAAGGCGGGUCUCUGGGCCGUAACUGACGCUGAGGAGCGAAAGCGUGGGGAGCAAACAGGAUUAGAUACCCUGGUAGUCCACCCCGUAAACGUUGGGAACUAGUUGUGGGGUCCUUUCCACGGAUUCCGUGACGCAGCUAACGCAUUAAGUUCCCCGCCUGGGGAGUACGGCCGCAAGGCUAAAACUCAAAGGAAUUGACGGGGACCCGCACAAGCGGCGGAGCAUGCGGAUUAAUUCGAUGCAACGCGAAGAACCUUACCAAGGCUUGACAUACACGAGAACGGGCCAGAAAUGGUCAACUCUUUGGACACUCGUGAACAGGUGGUGCAUGGUUGUCGUCAGCUCG
rnacentral:rRNA from 1 species